CUCAGAUGAACGCUAGCUACAGGCUUAACACAUGCAAGUCGAGGGGCAGCAUGGUCUUAGCUUGCUAAGGCCGAUGGCGACCGGCGCACGGGUGAGUAACACGUAUCCAACCUGCCGUCUACUCUUGGACAGCCUUCUGAAAGGAAGAUUAAUACAAGAUGGCAUCAUGAGUCCGCAUGUUCACAUGAUUAAAGGUAUUCCGGUAGACGAUGGGGAUGCGUUCCAUUAGAUAGUAGGCGGGGUAACGGCCCACCUAGUCUUCGAUGGAUAGGGGUUCUGAGAGGAAGGUCCCCCACAUUGGAACUGAGACACGGUCCAAACUCCUACGGGAGGCAGCAGUGAGGAAUAUUGGUCAAUGGGCGAGAGCCUGAACCAGCCAAGUAGCGUGAAGGAUGACUGCCCUAUGGGUUGUAAACUUCUUUUAUAAAGGAAUAAAGUCGGGUAUGGAUACCCGUUUGCAUGUACUUUAUGAAUAAGGAUCGGCUAACUCCGUGCCAGCAGCCGCGGUAAUACGGAGGAUCCGAGCGUUAUCCGGAUUUAUUGGGUUUAAAGGGAGCGUAGAUGGAUGUUUAAGUCAGUUGUGAAAGUUUGCGGCUCAACCGUAAAAUUGCAGUUGAUACUGGAUAUCUUGAGUGCAGUUGAGGCAGGCGGAAUUCGUGGUGUAGCGGUGAAAUGCUUAGAUAUCACGAAGAACUCCGAUUGCGAAGGCAGCCUGCUAAGCUGCAACUGACAUUGAGGCUCGAAAAGUGUGGGUAUCAACAGGAUAGAU
rnacentral:rRNA from 1 species